GAUGAACGCUGGCGGCGUGCCUAAUACAUGCAAGUCGAGCGAACAGACGAGGAGCUUGCUCCUCUGACGUUAGCGGCGGACGGGUGAGUAACACGUGGAUAACCUACCUAUAAGACUGGGAUAACUUCGGGAAACCGGAGCUAAUACCGGAUAAUAUAUUGAACCGCAUGGUUCAAUAGUGAAAGACGGUUUUGCUGUCACUUAUAGAUGGAUCCGCGCCGCAUUAGCUAGUUGGUAAGGUAACGGCUUACCAAGGCGACGAUGCGUAGCCGACCUGAGAGGUGGGCCGCCAACCGUGGAGCUGAGCCCGGGCCCAGCGUCCGAGGGGGGGAAGAAUGGGGAAUCUGCCGCAAAGGGGGAAAGCCUGGCGGGACCACCCCGGGGGGAUUAAUGAGGGUCUCGGGAUCGAAAACCUGUUUUAUGGGGGAAAAAAAAAUUUGUAAGUAAUUAUGCACGUCUUGACGGUACCUAAUCAGAAAGCCACGGCUAACUACGUG
rnacentral:rRNA from 1 species